CCGAGCAGCCGGGGUGGCAGCGGUGCCCUGUACCAGCAAUCCGCUAUAGCUGGGGUGAUAUCCUGUCUCGGGUUUGAAAUUGUAAAGCAGCCCUGAAUAAGUGGCGUUGAUGUCUGGGUCUUACGCAACAGGAAUCUGUGAACCGGGUCAGGUCAGGAAUGAAGCAGCCCUAAGCGGAAGCUCCUGUGUGCCGUAAGGUCGCCUGGACUGAGUUGGCUGUUCAGGUAACGUUUGCAACGAGAAUUCAAAACAGGAUGCUCGG
rfam:Roseburia sp. CAG:45 genomic scaffold, scf112